GGAAUCUUGGGCAAUGGACGAAAGUCUGACCCAGCGACGCCGCGUGAGGGAUGAAGGCCUUCGGGUCGUAAACCUCUUUUAUGGGAGAAGAAGAUCUGACGGUAUCCCAUGAAUAAGCCCCGGCUAACUACGUCCCAGCAGCCGCGGUAAUACGUAGGUGGCGAGCGUUGUCCGGAUUUACUGGGCGUAAAGGGCUUGUAGGCGGGCCGUUAAGUCCGAUGUGAAAUCUCCCGGCUCAACUGGGAGAGGUCAUUGGAUACUGGCGGACUAGAGGGGGGUAGAGGAAAGCAGAAUUCCUGGUGUAGCGGUGAAAUGCGUAGAUAUCAGGAGGAAUACCAGUGGCGAAGGCGGCUUUCUGGGCCUACCCUGACGCUGAGGAGCGAAAGCGUGGGGAGCAAAC
rnacentral:rRNA from 1 species